UUAUUUCGAAAUCGUACCUUCUUUGUUCUCACGUUGCACAGACUUUGAAAACAUUCAGUCUUAUAUUUUUCUGGUAUUUUCAAGCCAAAAGUUUGCAGACAAUCGAUCGUGAAUAGCAUAUCGUUUCGCUGUAAACCCAAAUUCACCUGUGCCAAAAACGUGCACGCUGCAAAGAGACAAAAUGCAUUUACCAAAUUGCUAAAAAUUUUAUAAGAAACAUAAGAACAAUUGUAAAUACAGUAUACCGUGUUGGACUGUUUCAGCUUCCGCAGCAACGAUUUUCGAUACGGCUUCUACGUCCUCCAACCAUAACUCGGAUCCAUCCAAAUGUUUUUCAGCAAGACAUUUUUUAAAUAAUUUCAGAUAAAGGGAUGCGUCUUCGGGUGAAGUAGGCUUUAGUAGUUUCAAAGAAGUAUCCCUCAAAGCAGUUAUAACUGCGUUUCGAUCGUUAUUGUCAACAGCGAAAUUUAACUUACGCAAUACUUGUAUCACUGCAAAGAAACAAACAGAUAUGAAUAUACAUAUGAUAUGUGGUGGUAGUCUAAAAAGAUACUUAACAUACCAUCGUCGUUAUUUUGACACUGUUGAUUCACAACAUCGAUACAUUCUUGGAUAUCGAUAUAUGUUAACAGAGGACAUUCUUCAGCAAUCGCUUGCUUUUCACAUCGAACCGCCGCCAGUGCUCUACAAUAUUUUACCUUAUUCUCAUGAUCCAAAUCCUAAGAUACGACUUAUGUAAAAAUAUAACUUCGCAUUACAGUAACCGCACUGACAUAAAAUAAAUAAUUAUGCUUACAGAGACGUGGCAAUUUGGAUUUGUCAGUGACUGAUAAACUAAAUCCGGAUUUCCAGUGUCCACUGCCUUGCUGAUUUCGGCGAUUAACGAGAGUACACGUACGCUAACUAUUAUAUCGUUUUACCUGAGAUUCCAUACGAUCUGCAUUCAUUUCUUCGUAAUAUAAUGGCAUUGCAAAUUCCUCGAUUUUAUCGCAUAAUCCAAGACUGGGAUUUCUCAGAGCAUCAUAAAAUUCACUCUGUACGCCGGUUUGCAAUGUUACAUUUAAGAAUUUAACACCUUCCUCGCCUGUAUCGAUAAAGAUAUUUUAGUACUCGAUACAAUGCUGCAAUUUCUGUUACAAAAUACCAACGUGUUCGGUUUAUGACAGAGAUACUCGUAAGCAAGCGUCUUUUGACGUUGCUCGUCCAUUUCUUCGGCUGAUUUACGAGCAUCUAUACCUAGAAAACAUUUCCUCGUAAAUAAAAUAUAAUUAAAUG